UACACUUUAAUGAAGAUAUCAUUUUUGACGAUGCUCAUUGCUAAUCAUCAGUAUUUUCAGAAACAGCCGCAAGCACUUUUUUUUUGCUGCAGUUUACAGAGAAUGUUAGAACAAAGUUUCAGUUUAAUAAGUGAGGCACAUCCUUCAAUUCACUAAGCGAAUGUCCCAGUCGGCGUGAGGCAGCAUGAAAUCUAAUCAGGCGGCGAUCUUAUUUUUCACAUAAGCUUUCCGAUACUCUGUUGAGUGCCCCCUGGGUAGCAUUCUUAAUACGUUAUUUAAAUUAGAUCUGCGGAUUUCGGGGCUUCACAAUAUAACCCGGUCGCACGCAGACUUCAGCCAAGUUUCCAGCUGAAAUCGACAUGGACGUGAAGGACAUCCUGUGGUCCAUUUUCUGGUUCUUGGUGCUCAUCCACCUGGCCUGGCCGAUCAGUAUGUUCUUCGGCUUCCUGUACGGUUUGGUGUCUCCCCUGACUACCUGCGUGGGGCUCGACAAAGUCACCGAAUUCUUCUUGUCAGGCGCCAGCCUGGGUCGCCUCUGUGCGGAGAAUAUGAAGUCCAGCAAGUCGCUGUGUUGAAAAUGUGCAGCUUUUACUGAAAAACAAACUCGUCUCGUUGCGACCAAUUCACCGACACCGAAAACUCUGAAGUUCACGAAUUCUUAAUCCCGGCGCCCUACCCUAUACUUUAUCAUUCCUCUUUUCAAAGUAAUUUCCACCAUGUAUAAACAUGUUUAAUAACUUUAAUAUGUUUCGAUUUGCCUUUCUGAUGGGGGCAGCCUACAAUUUCCAAACUUCUGCACAAUUUUAAUAACUUGGAAAUGCUAAAUUUGUACUUGUGUUAUUUAAAGUUAGUAAUAAAUCGCUCCAGAUUACAAA